UAUUUCACUUUACUACUGUUUCUAACUUUACCAAUUUGCUGACUUCUCAUCCAACUUUACCAUUUCACUCAUCUGAAAUAAAGCCCUAUCUGUAUCGUCAUCCGUCUCUCCUCUGCUGUGUCUCGAUCUCCAUUUCUCAGCUGAAGCCCUUGAUUGAUGUAUGCUAACUCGUCUCUCCUUCGGUAUUAUCUCAUCUGAGAUUACAAAGUUGAAGCCCUAGGUUUCUCUUCAGGCCGUCUCUCCUCUGUCUCGAUCACUCACCAGUUACUCGAUCUCCAAGAGCUUUUAAUUUAUGUCAUUUCGAGAUCUUACUCACUAGAUUUUCCUCCCAAGACGUUCUCGCUGAAGCCUCUCUCAGCCCUAGCUGUAUCUUCAGGCCGGCCGUCUCUCCUCUGCUCUAUCUCGAUCGAUCAGGCUGUUUCUCAGCUGCAAGAGCCGCUCUCCUCUACUCUGUCUCGAUCUCUCACCAGCUGCUCGAUCUCCAUUUCUCAGCUGAAGCCCUUGAUUGAUCAGGCCGUUUCUCAGCUGCAAGGCUAACCCGUCUCUCUUCAAGCCGUCUCGCCUCUGCUCGAUCUCCAUAACUCUCAGGCAACUUUUUUGCUUGUGAUGGUUAGGGAAUUUUUUGCCCCUUCACUCUCUACAGGGCCGGCCUCAGAUUUUAGAGGACCUUAAAUUGCUUUUGAGGCCUAUAGGGGAUGGAAAAAAAAUAAAAACACAAUCUGCUUUGCAUGGCGCAGCCUCCACUAUCGCCUCAGGUGAGGUGACAAGAAAAGUAUAAAAGAUCUUCAAGCAAGCCAAUAUUCUGACUCGCCUAUUGGCAGUUUCGAUGAUUUGUACUCCGUUGUGAGGGGAGAAGAGAGAAGGGGUCGUGUGCGGAUGCUUGGUUUGGGCCUGCACCAAGCCAUGUUUGAGGGCCCUCCCCUAGUAAAGCUGAACUCAUUAACAAAGCCAAAAAAUUUGAUGAGGAGGCACAUGCUACACGUGUAGAGUUGCAAGAUACAAUUUCAAAAAUGCAAGUUGAUUAUGACGACAAAUUGGAAAAUUUACGAGCCGACUAUGACGACAAAUUGGGAAACUUACAAAAACAAGUGGCUAUACUAAUGCAGAUGCAAUAACGAAAUUCUAGUGGACAGGUAUAUUUAUUAUUAGUUUUACUCUUUACUGAAUAUAAGUUUACUUAUGCCAAGAUUUCAUGUAUAAUUUUGUUUUGUUAUUUUGAAGUGUUCUAAUUCUUCAAAUGCUCCUAGAGUAUCCCCAAAUUCAAGUUUUAAUCGUGCUAAUUCAGUUAAGGGCAAUUCAAAUCAAAUGGACACGAGUUGUUGAAGUUGAAGCUUGAAAAAAAAAAAGUUUGAAGAUGGGGUCGUCGUGCUUUCUGAAUUUCCUUAGCAUAGCCACUUGUUUUUUGUAAAUUUUCCAAUUUGUCGUCAUAGUAGGCUUGUAAAUUUUCCAAUUUGUCGUCAUAAUCAGCUUUCAUUUUUGAAAUUGUAUCCUGCAACUCUACACGUGCAGCACAUGCCUCAUCAAAUUUUUUGGCUUUGUUAAUGAGUUCAGCUUUACUAGGAGAGGGCCCUCAAACAUUGCUUGGUGAAGGCCCAAGCCAAGCAUCUGCACACGACCCCUUCUCUCUUCUCCCCUCACAACAGAGUACAAAUCAUCGAAACUGCCAAAGAGAACAAAUGAAAAAUUAAGUUACUUUUGUAUAAAGAUUUCAGUAUCUUAUUUUUGACUCCAGUAUUUGGUUGUCUAUGGUUAAAAGAUUUUUUGGUUAAUUUAAUCAGCAACAACCCAAAAGAUCUAGGAACCAACCACCAUGCUUGUUACAGGUUCAGGGUCAACUGGUGCUUUUUUGUUACUGUUGCUGACUCGUUGAUGAUGUGAUUUCUGUUAAGGUAUCUGGGAGAUUUUUGCAUAUUUUUUGUCAAGCAGAAUCAGCACUAACCAGUCUUGCAAAAAAACAUAUGAUGUUCUAUUUAUCCAUUUCAAUUUCUGUCUUAUGUGAAAUAGAUGUCAUACAACUUCUUCAACAGGUUUUCAGGGGUAAGUAUAUCUGUAUUUGCCAAUAGGAAAUAAAAUGUAGCUUUCUCUCUCAAAAAAAUUGUGCCUGUUUUAGACUAAAAAUUCUGGUCUCUUUGUUGUAUUGUCUUUGUCAAUGUGUUUUUUUUUUUUUUUUAAAAAUGAAGUCAUAAUAUAAAUAGUAGAAAUUGAAAAUAUCCAAAUCAACCAAAUGGCAUGAGUUAAGGAGUGGUCACAAAGGAAGGAUAUGUGCCCAGAAAAGGAACUUGUGGAGCUAACAUGUAUAUAUUUUUUUUUUAGGCAUAAAAGAUUUUCAAGCAAGCCAAUACUCUGACUAGUCUAUUGGCAGUUCUAAUGAUUUGUACUCUGUUGUUGUGAGGGAAGAAGAGAGAAGGGUCGUGUGCGGAUGGUUGGCUUGGGGCUUACACCAAGUAAUGUUUGGGGCCUUCUCCUAGUAAAGCUAACUCAUUAACAAAGUCAGAAAAAUCUGAUGAGGAGGCAUGUGUUGCACGUGUAGAGUUGCAUGAUACAAUUUCAAAAAUACAAGCUAACUAUGACGACAAAUUGAAAAAUUUACGAGCUAACUAUGACGACAAAUUGGAAAAUUUACAAAAACAAGUGGCUAUGCUAAUGCAGAUGCAACAAUGAAGUUCUAGUGGACAGGUAUAUUUAUUAUUAGUUUUACUCUUUACUGAAUAUAUGUUUACUUAUGCCAAGAUUUCAUGUAUAAUUUCGUUUUGUUAUUUUGAAGGGUUCUAAUUCUUCAAAUGCUCCUAGAGUAUCCCCAAAUUCAAUUUCUAGUCGUGUUAAUUCAGUUAAGGUUAUGACUUUUAUUUCUUAUAUAUUAAAUUUCCAUUAUAUUUUAUUCUAAUACCUUUAAUUUCUUAUAUGUUAAAUUUUCAUUUAUUAUAAUGUGCGCUUAAUGAAUUUAUAAAAAAUGUAGGGCAAUUCAAAUCAAAUGGGCAAGAAUUGUUGAAGUUAAAAUUGAAGCUAGAAAAAAGAAAGUUUGAAGAUGGUGUCGUGGUUGUGCUUUCUGAAUUUCCUUGGCCGGUGUGAAAACUUAUAGUACAUUUUGAUGGGUUCUUUUGAGGAAACUUGUGGUGUGUUUGUUACAUUUGUGAAAAAUUCUUUUGAUUGUGUAUACUUCUUUUGAAAAAAAACUUCUUUAGCGGCUUCAUUGUGUUCACUACUCUUAAAAAAUUUGGUUGACAUUUAGCAGCUUUAUUUAUAUUAGUAGACAAUUUGGAUGG